UACGUAGGUGGCAAGCGUUGUCCGGAUUUACUGGGCGUAAAGAGCGCGCAGGCGGUCGUGCAAGUCGCGUGUGAAAGCCCCCCGGCUCAACUGGGGAGGGUCACGCGAUACUGAUCGACUCGAAGGCAGGAGAGGGUAGUGGAAUUCCCGGUGUAGUGGUGAAAUGCGUAGAUAUCGGGAGGAACACCAGUGGCGAAGGCGACUACCUGGCCUGUUCUUGACGCUGAGGCGCGAAAGCUAGGGAGCAAACGGG
rnacentral:rRNA from 1 species